rnacentral:sRNA from 1 species
GACACAAGAUUAGCCCAUUGGAUGUCUUGUUAUAACGCACACAUGAGCAUUUUAUGGG